rnacentral:rRNA from 1 species
AUUGAACGCUGGCGGCAUGCUUUACACAUGCAAGUCGAACGGUAACAGGCCUUCGGGUGCUGACGAGUGGCGAACGGGUGAGUAAUGCAUCGGAACGUGCCCAGAGGUGGGGGAUAACGCAGCGAAAGCUGUGCUAAUACCGCAUGUGAUCUGAGGAUGAAAGCGGGGGACCAGGCAGCAAUGUUUGGCCUCGCGCCUUUGGAGCGGCCGAUGUCAGAUUAGGUAGUUGGUGGGGUAAAGGCCUACCAAGCCGACGAUCUGUAGCUGGUCUGAGAGGACGACCAGCCACACUGGGACUGAGACACGGCCCAGACUCCUACGGGAGGCAGCAGUGGGGAAUUUUGGACAAUGGGCGCAAGCCUGAUCCAGCAAUGCCGCGGGCGGGAAGAAGGCCUUCGGGUUGUAAACCGCUUUUGUACGGAACGAAAAGGCUCUGGCUAAUACCUGGGGCUGAUGACGGUACCGUAAGAAUAAGCACCGGCUAACUACGUG